CACGCCGUAAACGAUGAGUGCUAAGUGUUGGGGGUCGAACCUCAGUGCUGAAGUUAACGCAUUAAGCACUCCGCCUGGGGAGUACGGUCGCAAGACUGAAACUCAAAGGAAUUGACGGGG
rnacentral:rRNA from 1 species